AGGGUCGGGCAGACCUGGGGGAGGGUGGAAGGGGGGUGGUCCCCCAAUAUCUUGUGUUCUGAAAGGGCAGAUUCAGAGCACUGGCGCUGGGAGAGCCGGGGGUCCCCACUCUGGGUCCUGAGGGAGCCCCCUGGGGAGUCUCUGUACUCUGGGGAGUUGCCUCCCUGCACCUGGGCCAGCCUGAGCCAGGACUCUGGGCGUCUCUGAGGAGCAGAGCCCCUCCCUGGGACCCCCAUGUUGGGGACCCCCUGGGACCCCGUCCUGCCGGCAGGAAUCCAUCUUGGGCCCGAGCAGGAAGCUGAUGCGGUUCCACAUCAUGUCCCACAUGACCCGCGGCCACCGCAGUGCCCAGCUCAGCAAGAAGGAGUUGGCUUCUUGCACAGCUGUAACCCGUGCUACACCACCAAGUCUGCAACUCUAAGGGGUCGGUCCUGUCCCCCCAUGAGGUCUAUGUGAGGGUCUAGCUGCUCAGGUUUGUCAUGGAGCACGUGUUCUGGAGCAGGACCUGGAGGCCUUGGUCAGCUCCUGCACAGAGCCAUGGAGGAACGGGGACACAGGGCGGAGCGGAGAGCACACGGGG